ACUAAUCUGUGGCACAGAAUGGUGCCACCAAGUGACAUCACCAACAAGAAAACUCGUGUACUUUGGCUCUUAGAUUAUCAUGAUUUUGCGAAGUUGGUUUCUGCAAUUUAUCAAAUAAUUCAUCCACAACAGGUCACUGGCAAAAUUCAGGCAUCUUUUCCCCCAAGUCCAUAUCAAAAUAUAGGAUCCAAUUAAAUUGGCUUGCUCUGUAGCUAUAUGUUAUGGUAUCAUCUGGUGGUCUGAGUGUUUCUCUUUGGUUCAACUCUAUGACCAUAUCUACCAAGAUUACCUAAAGCCCCUCUUUCACAUCAGAUCUCCAAAGAGCAGUAUUGAUCAGGAAACUCCUUGUUAUGUAAAUCAGAUCCAAUGCAUUCAUAUUUCACACAAACUAUUAGUAGUUGUCUCAAGUGGAAGGGAUUUGAUAUUACUUAAAUAAAGUUAUGUGUUCGAAUUUUUAUACAUUGAGGGUUUUUUUCGGAAUGACGGUAAAAUCCUUGAAAAACAGCUUUUCAGUUAUAAUUUACGGAAUACAAUGUAAGUA